AAAACUUUCCCUGGUAUGAAAGACAGGAAGGCCUCACUUAUCAUCAUUGGUAGAGUAAACCUUGAUAAGAGAGGAGGAUCUCAAGUGAGAAGUGUCACACAGUCGUCAGUAGAGAGCAGUAGCGCUCUGUGUUUGUGGUUUGAGGGAGCAGCAUGCAGAGCAGCAUGAGUCAGUUAAGAUGAGCAACACUUUGUCCACUGACCUCUUUCACCUUGCGGAGAGAAUUAAACGUGCUGCACAAAGGGAGAGCCGUAACCAAGUCAUGUGGACACUUCCAAAUCAUGCCAGGCUGUUUUCAAUAAGUGAUCCUUUGGAAAAGUGCGUGACCUUCGAUGUCUUCAGUGCCUGUGAAGUCAGUGAACCACCUUGGAAAUGAUGGAACAGAGCGGCUACAGAAAUAAAAAAAGAUCUCCUGUAUUGAUUCGUCUGGAAGUGAAAGAGAGACAGCUCUCCUGGCGAUCCAACUGAGGUGGCUUUUGACCUGAAAAAUGACAGGACGAGCACCUGAACAGCACACAACAAGCACCGAGCUGAAUGAUCCUCUUAAGAAAAUUGCCUUCAAAUGAACAAAAAGCACGCCAUUCUUUUGUUCCUCCAAUAAAAGAUGUAACAGCUGCUUCUCAGGGAGUGAAUCGUAAAUGAGGCCUGGCAUUGCCCUCGCUGUCAGAUCCCUCCAUGACCUCGACUUUCUCCUGCUUCCUACCUCCUCCUGUCUCCUGACUCGCCUCCUUCCCUUUCAUGUCAUCCUCCAUCCUCCACCUCUCUCCUCUGUUUCCCCUCUGCUCCUGAAGACGAGCCCCUUGUGUUGGGCGUGUUGACAGGGCUUUCUCACUCGGAUGCAACCAGAGGGAAGCUGAUGUGUCCCGGGCUGCCUGGAGCAUCACGGCAUGUGAUGGCACCUCAGCCUCUGCUCUUAACACAAUCCACAGGAGUACAUGAUACAGAGAGAAUAAGAAAAAAAAGAAGAAAAAAAGAGUAAAGAUG